rnacentral:rRNA from 1 species
UACGAAGGGUGCAAGCGUUACUCGGAAUCACUGGGCGUAAAGCGUGCGUAGGCGGCUUGUUGCGUCAGCUGUGAAAACCCGCAGCUCAACUGUGGGCUUGCAGCUGAUACGGGCAGGCUUGAGUUCGGUAGGGGAGACUGGAAUUCCUGGUGUAGCGGUGAAAUGCGCAGAUAUCAGGAGGAACACCGGUGGCGAAAGCGGCUCACUGGACCAUAACUGACGCUGAUGCACGAAAGCUGGGGGAGCAAACAGG